GAUAACUGAGUCGGAAGGCUGCCGUGAGAUAAAUAGAAUACGACAUAUGAAACUAACUUAUACAUAAGACAUAUGUGCCUAUAAGGCCAAAAUAACUACUCGUAUACUGAACAUAGGACGACAAGGCCAUACAAUCUUUUACGUACAUGACAUUUGUCUACAAGCCUCUAAGAAUACACAUUUAAAUCAUACUAACCAAACAAGCAACUCUAAAGCAAUGGAGCGCACCAACAUCUUCCGCUGAGCUGAUAGCCUACUUGGAGGGCUAUCGACCUAUCUAUCGGGACCUGCGGGCAUGAAACGCAGUGUCCCCAUACAAAAGGGACGUCAGUACAAAUAAUGUACCGAGUAUGUAGGGAAUGAAAAUCAAUAAAUAAUAGACAUGAGAGAAAUAUUGAGUAAAACACUCGACAUGUACGUUUGCAUAACUCUAUAAAUCGUUUUAUUUUUAAUAAUGUCAUGUAUAUGCAUAUAAAUGCCAUACCAUGCAUGGGUAUAUGUUUUCAUAAUAUCAUCAAGCCUCUGAGGGCAUCCCAUCAUAUCAUCUCGGCCACUGUGGGCAAAUCUUUAACGUAUACCAGCUGAUUAGGUAGUGGUGCGUAUAUAAUAACGUAACCUUUUCUCAUAUCCCAUAUAAAUACAAUAUAUAUAUAUAUAUAUGCGUAUAUAACGUCGUCUAGUCAUGUGCUAAUGUACAUGUAUAAGUGCAUGAAAUUCAUAAGGAAUACGUUAAUAGGAUUUUCUCAGAAUGCCAUAAAAAUCGAUAUGCCUUUCGGAUAAACAUUAUGGAAUACGUAGUUUUCUGAGACCUAUGAACAGAACAUAUAACAAUAAUUCACAUGGGGAAUCAAGAAUAUAGACACCUUAGUAUUUCUAUGAAUAGAGUCAUUUAUGAAAGUUGCGUAUUUUGCUCAUUUCAUUUGUAUUAUUUGGAUCAUGCCAAAAGGAAAGAAGGAAUAGCCUUAACAUACCUGAGCAGAUUCACCAAGAUCUGAAUAGGAAAAAUCCGUAUGAUAUUUUAGAAAAGUGUUGGUUUGACCUUGCAAAACAUUAUUUGCAAAAGCAAGUCAAACAAACACUUUCUUCCAAAAACUUAAUACAAACUUUGAAUGCUCAGUUUUUUUGGAAGACUUCCAACAAAUACCACCUACUGUUCCGAAUCCACCUCAACAUUGAACAUAAGAAUAAAACCUCUUCAUUAUGGUUCAAAGUAUAUCAUGGAUAGAAAGAAGAUGCCUCAAGAGUUUUAGGCAGAA
rnacentral:lncRNA from 1 species